GUGCCAGCAGCCGCGGUAAUACGUAGGUGGCGAGCGUUGUCCGGAUUUACUGGGCGUAAAGGGCUUGUAGGCGGUCCGUUAAGUCUGAUGUGAAAUCUCCCGGCUCAACUGGGAGGGGUCAUUGGAAACUGGCGGACUAGAGGGGGGUAGAGGAAGGCAGAAUUCCUGGUGUAGCGGUGAAAUGCGUAGAUAUCAGGAGGAAUACCAGUGGCGAAGGCGGCCUUCUGGGCCUACCCUGACGCUGAGGAGCGAAAGCGUGGGGAGCAAACCGGAUUAGAUACCCUUGUAGUCCACGCCCUAAACGAUGCAGACUAGCUAUUGGGAGCAUCGACCCUUCCAGUGGCGUAGCGAACGCGUUAAGUCUGCCGCCUGGGAAGUACGAUCGCAAGAUUAAAACUCAAAGGAAUUGGCGG
rnacentral:rRNA from 1 species